rnacentral:tRNA from 45 species
GGGGAUAUGGCGAAAUUGGUAGACGCUACGGACUU